UGGAGAGACAAGGGCAUUCUUAAACAUUUUGGCUUGAAAAAGGACAAGAGGACUCUCAUGUGUUCUCCAUUCGGUGGAACUGGAGAGACAAGGGCAUUCUUAAACAAUUUUGCUUGAAAAAGGACAAGAGGACUCUCAUGUGUUUUCCAUUCGGUGGAACUGGAGAGACAGGGGCAUUCUUAAACAUUUUGGCUUGAAAAAGGACAAGAGGACUCAUGUGUUUUCCAUUCGGUGGAACUGGAGAGACAAGGGCAUUCUUAAACAUUUUGGCUUGAAAAAGGACAAGAGGACUCAUGUGUUUUCCAUUCAGUGGAACUGGAGAGACAAGGGCAUUCUUAAACAUUUUGGCUUGAAAAAGGACAAGAGGACUCUCAUGUGUUCUCCAU